rnacentral:rRNA from 1 species
GAUGAACGCUGGCGGCGUGCCUAAUACAUGCAAGUCGAGCGAACGGACGAGAAGCUUGCUUCUCUGAUGUUAGCGGCGGACGGGUUAGUAACACGUGGAUAACCUACCUAUAAGACUGGGAUAACUUCGGGAAACCGGAGCUAAUACCGGAUAAUAUUUUGAACCGCAUGGUUCAAAAGUGAAAGACGGUCUUGCUGUCACUUAUAGAUGGAUCCGCGCUGCAUUAGCUAGUUGGUAAGGUAACGGCUUACCAAGGCAACGAUGCAUAGCCGACCUGAGAGGGUGAUCGGCCACACUGGAACUGAGACACGGUCCAGACUCCUACGGGAGGCAGCAGUAGGGAAUCUUCCGCAAUGGGCGAAAGCCUGACGGAGCAACGCCGCGUGAGUGAUGAAGGUCUUCGGAUCGUAAAACUCUGUUAUAAGGGAAGAACAUAUGUGUAAGUAACUGUGCACAUCUUGACGGUACCUAAUCAGAAAGCCACGGCUAACUACGUG